UAGUCGCGUAUAGCAAGGCUGAAAAGCAGCGUACGAGGAAAGUCCGGGCUCCAUAGAGCAAAGAUGCUGGAUAACGUCCAGUGAGGGAAACCUUAAGGAAAGUGCAACAGAAAACAACCGCCUAUUUUUAGGUAAGGGUGAAAAGGUGAGGUAAGAGCUUACCGCUAAUAUGGUGACAUAUUAGGUCAAUGUAAACCCCAUCUGGAGCAACACCGAGAUUGAGGGUUAAGACUGCUCGUCGUCCUCUUAUUGGUGGCUUGAGAUAUAUGGUAACAUAUAUACUAGAUAAAUGACUAUUCAACGACAGAACCCGGCUUAUCGAUUUACUU
rnacentral:RNase_P_RNA from 2 species